CCUGGGGACCUUGUUACACUGCAGUUCUAGUUCAGUAGGUCCAGGGUAAGGCCUGAGAUUCUGCAUUUCUAACAAGCUCCCAGGUGAUGCUGAGCUGCUGGUCCCCAGAGCACUCAUUGUGGAACAA
rnacentral:miRNA from 1 species